rnacentral:lncRNA from 1 species
UCUUCCUCUUCCCUCAUCUCUGUCACCUUCGAUUGGGCUAAAAGAGGCCCAAUCCGCUAUCUCAAACAUCCAUUGGGACGCGGAAACUUCGCUCAGAGAAGUAUUAACAGGCGAUUGGUGGACAAUCCUUCCACUUCGCCCACCCCCACAACCCCCUCCCCCCGCCGCACCUUCACCCUUUCUGAAAAGGUCAAUCGUAUCUCGUUGUUCAGUGAUCCGGGAGGUGGAAGGCUAUUGGUUCAGGGAGCCCGUCAGACCGGACUGGAGUGAGCCAUGAUUGGUCGACACAGGCGCAAUCAGAGUCAAGAAAACUUUGCUUUUGACUUAUUUACAGCUAGUCACAAUUGAGUGAAGUAUACUCCUGUAAACAAAUUUGGAUUUCUCUCUCUCAAUCUGAUUUCUCCAGAAUGUGGAAACUAUUUGACAUGAGACUUCACAACCUGCUAAAAAUGAGCUUUUCUAAUAAUGUGGGACUUACCCUUCUACAAGUAAACCAUCCUAGUCAUGAGGGAUCAGAUGAAACCUGAGACCAGAGACUCAUUUUCUUCUAAAAUGAUUUCUCCAAAGGAUUUUAAAAAGAAAAAGGUUAAAAUGUGAAAGGAAAAUAAAUCUUGGGACCCCCCAAAUCUCUAAGCUAAAGGGAAAAGUCAAGAUGGGAACUGCUUAGGGCAAACCUGCCUCCCAUUCUUUUCAAAGUCAUCCCUCUGCUCACUAAGAUAAAUGCAUAUCUUACUGUUUCCUUUGGAAAGGCUAAUCAGAAACUCAGAAGAAUGAAACCAUUUGGUUUUUCUUUUAUCUACCUAUCACCUGGAAGCACCCUUCCCACUUCAAGUUGUCCUGCCUUUCUGGACUAAACCAAUGUACAUCUUACGUACAUUGAUUGAUAUCUCAUGUCUCCAUAAAAUGUAUAAAACCAAGCUGUGCCCCCACCCCCUUGGGCACAUGUUGUCAGGACCAGGACCUUGUGAGGCUGCAUCAUGGGCACGUGUCCCUGACUUUGGCAAAAUAAACUUUCUGAAUUGACUGAGACCCGUCUUAGAUAUUUGGGGUUCAUACCCGCUUGGUACUGUGUAGUGAAUGAGUUCUCACAAGAUCUGGUUGUUUAAAAGUGUAUGGCACCACCUACCUGUCUCUCUUCUUCCUGCUCUGGCAAUAUAAGACAUGCCUGCUUCUCCUUGGCCUUCCACCAUGACUGUAAGUUUCCUGAGGCCUCUCCAGAAGCCAAGCAGAUGCCAGAAUCAUGCUUCCUGCACAGCCUGUGGAACUGUGAGCCAAUUAAACUUCUUUUAUUUAUAAAUUACCCAGCCUCAGGUAUUGCUUUAUAGCAGUGCAAGAAUAGACUAAUAUAAGUGUUACAGAUAUUGAGUAGGUAAAAAUCAAUAGGAUUUAGCAGUUGGACCUAGAGACGCAGGAACUGGGGAGAUUUUUUUAAAGAGGUGAUUAGAAGAAUAAUAUUGUCAUCAUGGAAAUUAGAAAGUUAGGUUUAUUGGUGAAAAGUUGGUGAAUAAUCUUCUAGAUAUUUUGAGUUUAAUGUACUAAUGAGGAACAAGUGGAGAUCUCCAUCAUGCACUUGGAAAUUUAGGACUGGAGCUGGGAGACAAGUGGGGCCAGAAAUAAAGGUAUGCUCCUUCUGCUCUCAACCCACCAUGGCCGUUUAGUGGGAUCAGUAGAAUCCCUGCAAGUAAGUGUCUGGAUUUAGCAAAAUAGCAUGGAAGAACAAACUGAUGCCAGAACCUACGAACUGACAGCAUUUAAGGGGUGGGAGGGAAAAAGAAAAAAGCAGAUGUGAAAAGAGAUCAGGAAACUUAGGCAAGUCAAAUAAGAGAAAAUUAUUUCAAGUGUGAACUUCCGUAUAUAACGUCUAUGAUUUAGGCCCAGUUUAUAUCAAGAACUUAAGAAAGAAAAUUGGAAAAAUAAAUAGGGCUUUAUGUAUUUUUAGGACUUAUGAUGAUGAUUAUGAUAUAGAAUGAAAUAAAGUGUGGGUCAGGAGCAGUGGCUCACGCCUGUAAUCCCAGCACUUUGGGAGGCUGAGGUGGUGGAUCACAGGUCAAGAGAUCUAAAUCAUCCUGGCCAGCAUGGUGAAACCCAUCUCUACUAA